rnacentral:lncRNA from 1 species
UCAAUGCCAAAACAGUGUUCUACUAUUAAAAAAUAGAGGGGCUGAAAGGUCAAACUGAGUCUCUUAUUCUGCAUUUAUAGGAAUGAAAAAUUCCAAUUUAUAACCCUAUUGCUCACAGUGGCAACCCACCUGUUGAAAGGCAAACAUUCAACAUUAAUUUUUCCCCCCUAGCUGAC